UCACUCGUUCGUCCCACGGUUGUGUUUUCAGUCAUCAUGGAACCACCCAUAGCUGCUGUGUGUGUUUUAUAUGCGCUACAGUCAAUUAUGAUUGUAUUUCAUAUAUUGGCUGGAAGACAAUGCAUCCGCAGACAUCGAGUACUAGCCAUUCGACAAUAUCUGGUAAAUCAGAAAUGAUCAUGUCAGGGAAAGUUGUAUGCACUAUCUAAUGUUUCCAAAAGCUAACCAAACACAAACAUCCUUACAUUUACGAUACGUGUUUGUGCCGUCAUAUGCAUUAGUAGCAUAACUUAUUUACAUUCGUUUUUACUUUCACUUGUAUGUUGACUUCUCCAUAUUGAUGUUGGUUUUAAGUUUUGUCUGACUUUUCUGAGCGGAUGUAAUACAAUCAUCGCAAAUUGAGUUAUGGGGUGUUUCAGGCCCCGGAGUGAACAGAAUUGUGCACUCGAUCACAAACGUGGGCUGAAGGACUUACGUUGCCAACUUCCCUUGCUUGGCUAAUUGUUUGGACCGACGACAAAUAUGGCCGCUGGGAUUCCCCCAAGGGCAUAAGGCGAGGGUAAGUGGAGGAGGAUGUGUCUUUUACAUGUUUGAAACGCAGCCCUUGUCUGUGCAGUUUGAUACAAACAAGCUGUAGCACUGCCUGAAGUUGUCAUCCACUCACACACAUCCAACAAAUACAUUUAAUUCAGUAAGAACCACAUAAAUACCCCAGUGGUAUAUCAAGCUAGUAGGUUAUAUGUUUUUAUUUCCCCUUACUUGAAGGUGAAUGGGGAAAUGAGUGAACGUGAGGAGGAUGAUAGGGCACCGACAAGCAGUUCCAGGAAGUGGAUCCUCAAUGCUUGGAACCCGUUGUGAUAAUAAAUAUUAGCGAUAGCGAUAUUACUGUGCAACAUUCUAUUUUCUCCCAAGAUUGCAAGACCGUUCGUAUGUUGGAUGUCGUGAGCAUUGUAUUGUCCAAUCAUAGAGCAGAUACAAGCCACAUGAUCCGCCAGCGAACACAUAACGGCAGCUGACAGCAGAUCACGUGACUUGCAUCUGCUCUGUGACUGGACGACACAUACCUCAAUGCUGUUUGGGAUAAGUAGUUUGUUUCCCCUCAACACUGAUAGUUCUGGAACCACAACCAUGAAAUGAGUGGCUGCCUGGUACUCUGGAAUGCUGUUGUUCAGGCCUCUAGUUUCCUGAGACAUCCUCUCUUCUAGACAUUCCUCCAGCCAUGAAAAUGUAUCUCUAUCUAUUACAACCACAGAGGAGAUUUGUUUGUGUAGACUCCUGAGAAAACCAGCACACCAGGCUGUCGUCUUGGGAAACAGUGGAUGUAAAGAAUCUAGCUAGCUAAAGCAUUUACUGCAAAUUGUAUGUACAAUUGUGUAAGCUUGCCUUGCAAUGCAGCUGAAGUUAACAUAGCUAGUUAACUGUUGACUUGCUUAUUGUGUAGUGGAGGAUAAAAAUAACUGAAUGCCUAUGGAUGUGUAGCUAGCUACGGUAUGUAGCCGAUCUGUGUUUGUCCGUGAUGUGUACGCCACCUUCUCCACUGCUGUCUUGUCGAUGUGGAUAGGGGGGUGCUCCCUCUGCUGUUUGCUGAAGUCCACAAUCAUCUCCUUUGUUUUGUUGAUGUUGAGUGAGAGGUUGUUUUGCUUACACCACACUCCGAGUGCCCUCAACUCCUCUUGGAGGCUGUCUCAUCGUUGUUGGUAAUCAAGCCUACUACUCCAACUCAAACUUGAUGAUUGAGUUGGAGGCGUGCAUGGCCACGCAGUCAUGGGUGAACAGAGAGUACAGAAGGGGGCUGAGCACGCACCCUUGUGGGGCUCCAGUGUUGAGGAUCAGCGAAGUGGAGAUGUUGUUUCCUAACUUCACCACCUGGGGGCGGCCUGUCAGGAAGUCCAGGAAGACCCAAUUGCACAGCGCGGGGUUGAGACCCAGGGCCUCUAGCUUCAUGAUGAGCUUGGAGGUUACUAUGGUGUUGAAUGCUGAGUUAUAGUCAAUGAACAGCAUUCUUACAUAGGGUAUUCCUCUUGUCCAGGUGGGAUAAGGCAGUGUGCAGUGUUAUGGACCUAUUGCGGCGGUAAGCAAAUUGAAGUGGGUAAGGUGGAGGUGAUAUGAUCCUUGACUAGCCUCUCAAAGCACUUCUCAAUGACAGAAGUGAGUGCCACGGGGCGAUAGUCAGUAAGUUCAGUUACCUUUGCCUUCUUGGGUACAGGAACAAUGGUGGCCAUCUUGAAGCAUGUGGCACUGUAUUAUCCUCAAAGCGAGCAAAGAAGGUAUUUAGUUUGUCUGGAAGCAAGACGUUGGUGUCCGUGACGUGCAAGUAACCACUUCACUGUACCAUUUACACCUUCUGUAUCCUGUGCAUGUGACAAAUAAACUUAGAUUUUAUUUGA